AAAACAUUGAAUAAUUGUUCCAUAUAUCAUUAUCGAUUCAUAGUUGUUUUACAUCGAAACAAAAUUAUCUAAAACGAAGUAGUGAAUAAUUAUGCAGAAACGGAUAUUAUCCUUGCUUGUAGCCAUUGUGGUUAUUCAGUUGGUAGCUGCACAGUUUUACAACUAUGGAUACCGAAAUGAGCCACCGCCUCCUUUACCAAUGACAGAAAGACCAACAACCUACUCACAGGAAGGACUACCACCACCAAGAAAACCAUAUCCCUACUAUAAUGAUGAACUAGCGGCUGCAGAAGUAUUUGAUUGAGCACAAGAAAUGUCGUUACCAGAACUUUCUGGACUAUUGUUCUCAGA